rnacentral:rRNA from 1 species
GUAGGGGGCAAGCGUUGUCCGGAUUUAUUGGGCGUAAAGCGCGUGUAGGCGGCCACACAGGUCCGUUGUGAAAACUCGAGGCUCAACCUCGAGACGUCGAUGGAAACCGUGUGGCUAGAGUCCGGAAGAGGAGUGUGGAAUUCCCGGUGUAGCGGUGAAAUGCGCAGAUAUCGGGAAGAACACCCAUGGCGAAGGCAGCACUCUGGGACGGUACUGACGCUGAGACGCGAAAGCGUGGGGAGCGAACAGGAUUAGAUACCCUGGUAGUCCACGCCGUAAACGAUGGAUGCUAGGUGUGGGUGGUGUCGACUCCAUCCGUGCCGAAGCUAACGCAUUAAGCAUCCCGCCUGGGGAGUACGGCCGCAAGGCUAAA